rnacentral:rRNA from 1 species
ACCCGAUGCAAACUGCGAAUACCGGAGAAUGUUAUCACGGGAGACACACGGCGGGUGCUAACGUCCGUCGUGAAGAGGGAAACAACCCAGACCGCCAGCUAAGGUCCCAAAGUCAUGGUUAAGUGGGAAACGAUGUGGGAAGGCCCAGACAGCCAGGAUGUUGGCUUAGAAGCAGCCAUCAUUUAAAGAAAGCGUAAUAGCUCACUGGUCGAGUCGGCCUGCGCGGAAGAUGUAACGGGGCUAAACCAUGCACCGAAGCUGCGGCAGCGAUGCUUAUGCGUUGUUGGGUAGGGGAGCGUUCUGUAAGCCUGCGAAGGUGUGCUGUGAGGCAUGCUGGAGGUAUCAGAAGUGCGAAUGCUGACAUAAGUAACGAUAAAGCGGGUGAAAAGCCCGCUCGCCGGAAGACCAAGGGUUCCUGUCCAACGUUAAUCGGGGCAGGGUGAGUCGACCCCUAAGGCGAGGCCGAAAGGCGUAGUCGAUGGGAAACAGGUUAAUAUUCCUGUACUUGGUGUUACUGCGAAGGGGGGACGGAGAAGGCUAUGUUGGCCGGGCGACGGUUGUCCCGGUUUAAGCGUGUAGGCUGGUUUUCCAGGCAAAUCCGGAAAAUCAAGGCUGAGGCGUGAUGACGAGGCACUACGGUGCUGAAGCAACAAAUGCCCUGCUUCCAGGAAAAGCCUCUAAGCAUCAGGUAACAUCAAAUCGUACCCCAAACCGACACAGGUGGUCAGGUAGAGAAUACCAAGGCGCUUGAGAGAACUCGGGUGAAGGAACUAGGCAAAAUGGUGCCGUAACUUCGGGAGAAGGCACGCUGAUAUGUAGGUGAAGUCCCUUGCGGAUGGAGCUGAAAUCAGUCGAAGAUACCAGCUGGCUGCAACUGUUUAUUAAAAACACAGCACUGUGCAAACACGAAAGUGGACGUAUACGGUGUGACGCCUGCCCGGUGCCGGAAGGUUAAUUGAUGGGGUCAGCGCAAGCGAAGCUCUUGAUCGAAGCCCCGGUAAACGGCGGCCGUAACUAUAACGGUCCUAAGGUAGCGAAAUUCCUUGUCGGGUAAGUUCCGACCUGCACGAAUGGCGUAAUGAUGGCCAGGCUGUCUCCACCCGAGACUCAGUGAAAUUGAACUCGCUGUGAAGAUGCAGUGUACCCGCGGCAAGACGGAAAGACCCCGUGAACCUUUACUAUAGCUUGACACUGAACAUUGAGCCUUGAUGUGUAGGAUAGGUGGGAGGCUUUGAAGUGUGGACGCCAGUCUGCAUGGAGCCGGCCUUGAAAUACCACCCUUUAAUGUUUGAUGUUCUAACGUGGACCCGUGAUCCGGGUUGCGGACAGUGUCUGGUGGGUAGUUUGACUGGGGCGGUCUCCUCCUAAAGAGUAACGGAGGAGCACGAAGGUUGGCUAAUCCUGGUCGGACAUCAGGAGGUUAGUGCAAUGGCAUAAGCCAGCUUGACUGCGAGCGUGACGGCGCGAGCAGGUGCGAAAGCAGGUCAUAGUGAUCCGGUGGUUCUGAAUGGAAGGGCCAUCGCUCAACGGAUAAAAGGUACUCCGGGGAUAACAGGCUGAUACCGCCCAAGAGUUCAUAUCGACGGCGGUGUUUGGCACCUCGAUGUCGGCUCAUCACAUCCUGGGGCUGAAGUAGGUCCCAAGGGUAUGGCUGUUCGCCAUUUAAAGUGGUACGCGAGCUGGGUUUAGAACGUCGUGAGACAGUUCGGUCCCUAUCUGCCGUGGGCGCUGGAGAACU